rnacentral:rRNA from 1 species
CCUACGGGUGGCAGCAGUGAGGAAUAUUGGUCAAUGGACGAGAGUCUGAACCAGCCAAGUAGCGUGAAGGAUGACUGCCCUCUGGGUUUUAAACUUCUUUUAUAAAGGAAUAAAGCGAGGCACGUGUGCCUUUUUGCAUUUACUUUAUGAUUCAGGAUCGGCUAACUCCGUGCCAGCAGCCGCGGUAAUACGGAGGAUCCGAGCGUUAUCCGGAUUUAUUGGGUUUAAAGGGAGCGUAGAUGGGUUGUUAAGUCAGUUGGGAAAGUGUGCGGCUCAACCGUAAAAUUGCAAUUGAUACUGGCAGUCUUGAGUACAGUUGAGGUAGGCGGAAUUCGUGGUGUAGCGGUGAAAUGCUUAGAUAUCACGAAGAACCCCGAUUGCGAAGGCAGCUUACUAAACUGUGACUGACAUUGAUGCGCGAAAGUGUGGGUAUCAAACAGGAUUAGAUACCCGGGUAGUC